ACAGCUCGGGGCAGAGCUGGGCUCUCACCUGCCCAUCCCCUCCCUGCUGGGUGCCCAAGGCCUUUUUGGAGUUUUGAGUGUCACCAACACAGGGGUGGGGAUGUGGCCCCAAAGCCCUGUCCCAAAGCAGGCUCAGCUCCCAGGCUUACCAGAGCCAGGGCUGCAAAUCCACCUUUGCAGACUCCCAACACAUGAAAUUACCAUAACCAGGACAUUUCAUGCUCCUCUCCCAUCAAGCUGUUUAGAGCAAAUUAAAUUUCUCCCUAACCAGGCUGUAACAGUUCAUGUUAGAUGUGGAUCUAAAUGUUAAUUGCAGUGACAAUAACAGGUCUGAUCCUGCCAUCCUUAUUUGAGUAAAACCUCCCACAGAAGCCAAAGGAAUUUUGCCCCGGAGAAGGCAGCUGGAUGCAGUCCCACAUUUCCAGUCUCUUGAAGAUGCCAGAAGCUCAUCACCCAGGCUGGAGCCUGGCUGCCACAGAAGCCGGCAAAGAAAGCAUUAAGGGAUGGAAGGUGAAACUCAGCACACGAGCUGUGAGAUUUACAGAGCAUCCCCCAUCCUGCCCGUGGCACAGCAGCCAAACCCUCCCUGAUGGGAGCCCAGGAACCCAGGCAGUGCCAGGGCAGCAGCUGGAGCUCACCCCAGCCUGCUCAGCGUGGCACAGACACCUCCUGAGCCACACCAGGGCUUUUGAGGAUGUGACUCAGUGGCUCAGAGACAGCUCCUCUGCUGGCCUUCCCCUGGUCCCUGCAUACAAAACACUUUGCAAAUGAAGUGUGAAGAUAAUAUGCUUUAUCAUGGGCAUUUAUUACCCGUGAUUGUGGUAUAAAUCUCCCUCCAUUCACAUACAUAUACAUAAGGUGUAUAUAAAUAUGCAGCAUCCAGCAGGACCCAGAGCCUUUUUGAUGAUGUCAAUGUAGCCCCCAUAAAGAUAGUGGGAAAUGAUUCAUAAUAUUUAUAUGACAGACAUGAUAUGAACUGUAAUAGCCUGUUGGGAAGGAGAAUAUCCAUAGGUCUCUGUCAGCCACAAAUGUGAUUUAAAUAUUAUAUAUGUGGCAACUGUAGCAUUAGUAAUAUGAUAGCUGUUAUUGAUAGUGGUCAUAAAAUGCAGUAGUUUUGCACUGAAGAAUGUGAAAAAUAAUCUAGUGGUUUUCCUAAUGGUCUUCCCAGCAAUGCACUGAAAGGAAGUGUACUUUCAAUGCCUCCUUUUUUCACUGCCUCCUCCUCUCCUCCCCCCACCUCAAAUUACCAUCACAUUCUCUCAGAUUACUGCCAG
rnacentral:lncRNA from 1 species